rnacentral:rRNA from 1 species
GACGAACGCUGGCGGCGUGCCUAAUACAUGCAAGUCGAACGCUGAAGGAGGAGCUUGCUCUUCUGGCUGAGUUGCGAACGGGUGAGUAACGCGUAGGUAACCUGCCUGGUAGCGGGGGAUAACUAUUGGAAACGAUAGCUAAUACCGCAUAACAGUAGAUGUUGCAUGACAUUUGCUUAAAAGGUGCAUUUGCACCACUACUAGAUGGACCUGCGUUGUAUUUGGUAGUUGGGGGGGUAACGGCUCACCAAGGCGACGAUACAUAGCCGACCUGAGAGGGUGAUCGGGCACACUGGGAAUGGAAAACGGGCCAGACUCCUACGGGAAGCAGCAGGAGGGGAACUUCGGCAAUGGACGGAAGGCUGACCGAGCAACGCCGGGUGGGGGAAGGAGGGUCUCGGGUCGGAAAACUCUGUUGUAAGGGAAGAACGAGUGGGAGAGUGGAAAGUUCACGCUGUGACGGUAUCUAACCAGAAAGGGACGGCUAACUACGUG